UACGUAGGGGCCUAGCGUUGUCCGGAUUUAUUGGGCGUAAAGAGCUCGUAGGCGGUUCGGUAAGUCAGGUGUGAAAUCUCCACGCUCAACCUGGAGCCGCCACCUGAUACUGGUAUGGCUAGAGUCCGGUAGGGGACCACGGAAUUCCUGGUGUAGCGGUGAAAUGCGCAGAUAUCAGGAGGAACACCGAUGGCGAAGGCAGGUCUCUGGGCCGAGAUUGACGCUGAGGAGCGAAAGCGUGGGGAGCGAACAGG
rnacentral:rRNA from 1 species